GCCAUAUAAAAAAAGACAACUCUGUUCUGCAGAGUAGCUGUUGACAUUAUAGUUGCGCAGGCACUUUGUUGACUCUAGAGAACCUCGGGCCAAUCGCACAUCCCCUUGGUGGCGACUUUGCAUGCGGAUGUCAUCCAUAUCAACUUUUGAUGCCAGUUUCUGCGCAUACCAUGGUGACCACGGGUAAUGGGGAAUCAGGGUUCCAUUCCGUACAGGGACCCUGAGAAAUGGCUAUCACAUGCAAGGAAGGCAGCAGGC